rnacentral:rRNA from 1 species
GACGAACCGUGCGAACGUUGUUCGGAAUCACUGGGCAUAAAGGGCGCGUAGGCGGCUUUUCAAGUCAGGGGUGAAAUCCGGCAGCUUAACUGUCGAAGUGCCUUUGAUACUGGGAAGCUCGAGGGAGGUAGGGGUGUGUGGAACUUCCGGUGGAGCGGUGAAAUGCGUAGAGAUGCGGAGGAACACCGAUGGCGAAGGCAGCCCCCUGGGUCGACACUGACGCUCAGGCACGAAAGCGUGGGGAGCAAACAGG